UGACUCAUGUGAGGAGAGGCAGGAAGUCCAGCAUCUCCUCCUGCAGCUUCCCCUUGGAAGGUUCCGGAACCCUGGACAGUCUGCACAGGCCGGGGCAGCCACGGGGACCGGCUCCAUCGGCCCAGCAGGGGCAGCCCCUUCGGUUCCCUAUGGCAACGUGGAACAACAAGCGGACACCCUUUCUGGACAAAGAAAUUUCUCCCAGGGACUUGUAGCAUUAUAGGUUCUGUUUGCUGCGUUCCUGGGAGACGCGCACGCAGAUAUCAGAGCCCCAGCUCAGAAGCCAGUCCUGUUUGUUUCCCAGAGAAGGUCGCAAUAGUAGUGGGGGGACUUCAGGCCAGUGAAUGGGGUCUCAUCAGGCCCUCAAGUGACACCCACACAAAGACCAUGGGCCCCCUUGGGAGAUCUAACUUGCCUGCAGGGCCCUGGCAAUUUCUCCCACUGAAAUAUCAACCUCAGGAGGGACCGGGACUCUCGGCAGAAUAAAACUAGUUAAACCAACUGUCCAGACAAGCGGCCUCCAAGCUUUGUGAAUUUUACAGCACAACCCAGUCGUGUAUCAUGUGUGCACAUACACACACAGCGUAUGACAGCACUCCGCCUCAAACCUGUGAUAUGCUCUAUUUUCUAGUCCAUUCGAUUUUGUAAAUACUGUUGUUGUGACCCUCUCCACUCUGUUUGUUCGUAACCUGGUGUGGAAACACUACCUUCCGACUGAGGUAGCUCAGAUAUUAAGCGUCUGCCUUUGCCUCAGGUCAUGAUCCUGGGAUCCUGGGAUUGAGCCCCAUAUCAGGCUCCCCCCCUUAACAGGAAGCCUGCUUCUCCCUCUCCCAAUCCCCCUGCUUGUGUUCCCUCUCUUGCUGUGUCUCU
rnacentral:lncRNA from 1 species